AAUUCUUUAAGAGUUCAUAAUUUAAUCUCACAUCGGUCAGGUGAGUAUCAUUAUCCUCAUUUUAACAGAAGUAGAAACUGAGACACAAGGGCUGAGAGUACUGAAAGUUAUGGAAUAAGGAAUGAAAAAUUCUAAAUACAGCCCCAAUUCCCCUGACUUCCAAUCUAAUGCUUGGUCUGCCCACUAGUGCAUACUGUUUCAUUAAUUAGGAAAAGCUCAAAAUCCCUGUAAAGGAGUAUCUGCAUGGAAUGUAGUGGGUAUCUUUAGUUUAUACCCUGUCAUAAAGAAUUGAGACACAUUUGUGUUUUGCUACAAUAAAAUCUAUCAACACAUUGAAAAUCAAAAUAUGAGCAUAGAGAAAAUAGAACACUAGGAGGUUAGAAUCAUAAAAUACUUCAUGAAUCAUGUAGCCAGUAUAUAACCAGGGGGGGAAACUGAGACUCACGUAAGUUAAGUGCCUUGCCCUAAGUCACACGGCAUUCAUUAAUAGAACUGAAACCGUAAUAGAGGUCCCCAACCUCUGAGACCCAUCCCUAUUUCAUUACCCUUUCUAUUCAGUUUUGGUUCUUUGGUUCAAAUUUCUAUUCCUUGGUUUGCUCUUUCUUCUUCCCUGAAGUUAUUAUUUCCAUACUUCCUUUUCUGCACAUGCUGUUGUGCAGUCACCCAUAGAUCUGAAUUUCCAUCACACAGCCUCUCAGGAGGUGCGUCCCCAUCACACUGAGACCAUGCUGGUGUGAAAAGAUCUUAACAUCAUCACCCUAUAGCCCUAGGGAACUUCAGACCAUUAACAUGCUUCACCCUCUCAGUUCCCACCCCUGCAGGGUGAAUCCACAGAAAACACUGAAAAUAGUGGGUGGUAUUAACAUAGAGGAAAUACACAGAUCCAAUCACCAAGAUUCAUAAACCAUGUAUGUGGCAAGGAAGAGGACUGGAUUUAAAAGUCUUGCAAGCAAGGCAUCAUCUUAAUCACAUACUACCUGCUUAAGUGUGCAGAAUCUUCAGACUGAAUUUUCUGCUAAGCUGUGAGCUCUGAAGAUGAAUAUUAAAUUAGAAUUUGGGAAGGAAAAUAUGCCCUCCUUCACAGAAAAGCACUUUUAUUUUAACAUUUAAUAAUGAAGCUGCCCCACAGAGGAGCCUGGAGCUUGUUGCCACUAGAAACUGAGUCAUACUUUCUAGGGCUAUGGUCAAAUUGCAAGUCCCACUCCCACCUUCCCCUAAACUCCUCCGGUAAUUGACUGACCUUACUAAGGUUGACUGAGCUGAACUUUCAGAUGAUCCCUGGUGUUUGGGGGCUAAGCUGUGCUUCUGAAGGUGCUCCUGAGGAAGAGGAUAUUAUUUGUGAAUGCAGAAGGGAGCCCUCUCCGAUAAGAAUUUCCAAGGAAAUCUCCCUUACAGAAGCUAGCAAUGUUGAGUAGAAACAAUUUUACAUCUACCUGAAGAAAAUGUCAACACAGUUUCCAUUUAUUUCAAACUAUUGUGAGAGAUAUUGAAUUAUUGUGCAAGAAAAAUAUCCACCCCAUACCCACAGAGAAGAUUGCAACAAUCUUCCAAAAUGGAGAAUGUCUUGUAACCAAGCACAUAGAUCAAAAAAUGAUUUAUGUGAGCCACUGAAUUUGUACAUAUUUUGAUGUUAUUCAUUCUAUAGCCUUAUUCCAUUACCUUGACAGAAGAAAAUGUGUAUCUGUUUC
rnacentral:lncRNA from 1 species